rnacentral:rRNA from 1 species
AGGACGAACGCUGGCGGCGUGCUUAACACAUGCAAGUCGAGCGGAAAGGCCCUUCGGGGUACUCGAGCGGCGAACGGGUGAGUAACACGUGAGCAACCUGCCCUUAGCUCUGGGAUAGCUCCGGGAAACCGGAAUUAAUACCGGAUAUGACCUAGGCCGACAUCGGCCGUGGUGGAAAGUUUUUCGGCUAGGGAUGGACUCGCGGCCUAUCAGCUAGUUGGUGGGGUAAUGGCCUACCAAGGCGACGACGGGUAGCCGGCCUGAGAGGGCGACCGGCCACACUGGGACUGAGACACGGCCCAGACUCCUACGGGAGGCAGCAGUGGGGAAUAUUGCGCAAUGGGCGAAAGCCUGACGCAGCGACGCCGCGUGGGGAUGAAGGCCUUCGGGUUGUAAACCCCUUUCAGCAGGGACGAAGCGAAAGUGACGGUACCUGCAGAAGAAGCGCCGGCUAACUACGUGCCAGCAGCCGC